GCAACCAAACAGAUAUUUCUUAUAACAACUUUUCUAAGCGCUCUAUGCCAUCUUCUUGUCGAGAAACCCUGAACUUGUUCCGAAGCUUUUCUGAAAGGGGAAAAUUAGAAUUUGAUGAGUGCCUGA